AUCACUUCUUGGUCUUUUGGCUAACGUCAGGUGAAGUUAUCUGUUUUCAUCAGUUUAAUGUCUGAUAUGUCCUCCAGCCAAGGACAAUGUAUUAAUGGAUUUUUGGAGCAAGGAGAUGGAAUAGGCGCUUGCUCUGUCUACUUAAUGAAUCAACCUGGUAUUGCAGCACCUCCAGGAAUGGUGCACCCCAC